rnacentral:rRNA from 1 species
CCUACGGGAGGUAGCAGUGAGGAAUAUUGGUCAAUGGUCGGGAGACUGAACCAGCCAAGCCGCGUGAGGGAUGAAGGUACAGAGUAUCGUAAACCUCUUUUGUCAGGGAACAAAGGCGGGGACGUGUCCCCGGAUGAGUGUACCUGAAGAAAAAGCAUCGGCUAACUCCGUGCCAGCAGCCGCGGUAAUACGGAGGAUGCGAGCGUUAUCCGGAUUUAUUGGGUUUAAAGGGUGCGCAGGCGGAAGAUCAAGUCAGCGGUAAAAUUGAGAGGCUCAACCUCUUCGAGCCGUUGAAACUGGUUUGUUUGGGGGGGCGGGAAGUAUGGGGAAGGCGGGGUGUAGCGGGGAA